AUGAACGCUGGCGGCGUGCCUAAUACAUGCACGUCGAGCGAACAGACGAGGAGCUUGCUCCUCUGACGUUAGCGGCGGACGGGUGAGUAACACGUGGAUAACCUACCUAUAAGACUGGGAUAACUUCGGGAAACCGGAGCUAAUACCGGAUAAUAUAUUGAACCGCAUGGUUCAAUAGUGAAAGACGGUUUUGCUGUCACUUAUAGAUGGAUCCGCGCCGCAUUAGCUAGUUGGUAAGGUAACGGCUUACCAAGGCAACGAUGCGUAGCCGACCUGAGAGGGUGAUCGGCCACACUGGAACUGAGACACGGUCCAGACUCCUACGGGAGGCAGCAGUAGGGAAUCUUCCGCAAUGGGCGAAAGCCUGACGGAGCAACGCCGCGUGAGUGAUGAAGGUCUUCAGAUCGUAAAACUCUGUUAUUAGGGAAGAACAAAUGUGUAAGUAACUAUGCACGUCUUGACGGUACCUAAUCAGAAAGCCACGGCUAACUACGUG
rnacentral:rRNA from 1 species